GCUGAUGCUGUGAGCUCGGCCGCGCCGCCGCCCACCUGGCUUGCUCCGCCGGGCCUCGGCACCGCCGCUAGGUCCAGGGCGCUGCGGGAGCGCGCAGGCGCGCUGCCGCCGCCGCCACCGCCGCCGCCGCCGACCGGAUCUGAGGCGACUGCGGCUCCCUCGGCAACGUCAGGAAAUUACUUCUAAACUAAGCCCUGCUCAGGCCGACGCAGCCGCCAUUGUCGGCGCGUGGCGACGUCGCGGGUCGCGCCGACACGCCCACUAUGGCGUCAAAAAGCGCCGACGCCGGCAUGCGGCGCGAGGCCCGGGGAGGCGGGGCGCCGGGGUUGGGGGGACCCGCUGCUGCUGCGCGUCGACGCCCACCGGGGUCGGGUUUGGGGCGGGGCGAGGGCCACUGGGAUCCCGCGGCGCCUCAAGGGCCUUGAGCUCCGCGGGGUCCCCGGCGGAUCGGCCGGCCCGGGAGGGAAACGGAAGGAAGGCGUGGGAAUAUUCCCUCGCGGGGGUGGCCGGGCGGGUUUCGCGAGGGCGCCAUCUUAGGGGAGUGGGUGGGGCGGACAGGACAAAUUUCUCUGGCUUCGAGAAAACGACGCGCCUCCUUCGCCCAAAGGCCCCUCCCCCGCUCAGGAACCGCGUCUUUUACUUGUUUCUUUACGACACCCGGGGAUAGACACCGGAUCUUGUUCAUCUUGGUAGCCUAAACUCCUGGCACCGGCUCUGGUGUCUAAUGCGGAAUGAGCGAAUGAAUGAACGAAUGAGGGGUAGAAGGGCCAACUUUCUUUUUCUGGUGUCAGCCUUCUCCUUUAUCGGUCUCAUACCUUCCUCUGGCUGGAGUUCGACUCCGUGGGAAGGAUGGAAAGGGCAGCAGUUGCCUGCCUCUUGUACUGCAGAUUUCAGUGGCGCUCGAGCUUCGAACUUGAAACUUAAGCAUAAAUGUAAACAUCCCAGUGUAAACACCAGCUUUAUUGGCCGGGAAACUCCGCUUCUUUGUCAUUCUUUUAGAAAGACACAGCAUACUUUUUGUUCUAAACAGAACUUUGUUUUCAGGAAUUACACUCAUUGCUGAAAAGGAAAAGGUCCAUAUUUUUAAGUUGGGCAGGUAUUUAUUGAGCCCCUACUAAGUGCAGGGCACUGCGUGAGGCUCUGGCGACCCAGGAGUUGACAAGACAGGCACAGCUCAGGGGAGACAGAAUUAAGAUGGUUGGCACCUGACAGAUAUGAGAUGCUGGAGGACAGCAGUUCUCAAACUUUUUGGUUCCAGGUCCUCUUUACACUAAAACAUUGAAAACCCCAAAAAACGUUUGUUUGUGGUUUAUACUUACCAAUAUUUCUGCACAAAAAUGAAAGCGGCUGUUAAAAAAUACUAAUUCAUUAAAAUAAUAAGGAACCCAUUAGUGUAAACAUAAAUAUCAUAACCCGGGCUUGAGGUCCGGGAAAACCUUACCAGAAGAAAUUAUUUCACUAUUCCAGUGACCUUCACUUCUAAACAUAGCAGUUGAGUACUACUUCUAGAAAAUCCUGGCUCCCCACACACCAGUUGUGUGAAUCUAUGGUUUCAACGAUAACAACAGUUUUUAAUAGUUUGGGUUAGUUUUUUUUUAAAUUACAUUUCUUUUUCAUGAAGUUCUCAUUCUGGCAGGAACUCUUGGAGAACUGAAUUUGUGUGCACUUUUAUGAUAUAGGUAAUGUGAGUUUUAUUAGGCUUAAACUUUGCUAAAUAUUUUUUCCUGGAUCCAAAAAUAGCAUACAGCUGUUUUCAGCAAUGUGUUAUUGGGCUCCCAUUUCAUUCCCGAGUUCACAGCAUAGGUGAUAAUAUGCGACACCACCCUACUGCACAUAUCAUUGAGUGCCGGCUCUACCACAACCGUCUUUUGAGCAGGUGACUUAAAGGGUUCCUUAUGCUUAUGUCCCAUGUCACCCAGCCAUCCUGGCCCAAAGGCUGCCCAGGGUCUGUGUGGUGACCUGGCAGAUAGCUCUGCAUUCUAGACUGGAUUUGACUGAGCCAGUAAGAACCUCUCCCAGAAAGUUUGAGUAUGGAACAUACAGGGAUGUGGUCAGAGUAGCAAAGAAGCAAGGAGAUACUCCCAGGGAAGGUAAAAGGCAGAACAGAGGCCUGCUGUGGAGAAGUUCCCCACGGGUGAGAGGAGCAGCUGAAGCAGCGAAGAAGGGUCACUGAGUCACUAUACUAGUGAGGCAGUGGAGUUGAGAGGUACACACAUUGUACCUGUAAUGGCAUUCUGUUUGGUCGUGAGAACUGGCAGUUUAUAAUUGCACAAUGCUGUGGUCUCUGUGAGGCCUGGUUCCUAUUUUUUCUCAUUUCCCUGCAUAUUCAUAGAAUAACUCCCUAAUGACUGAGGUAAUCUGAAAGCAUCUCUGUCUUUGUAACCUGUCUUUUACAAGUUUUUUUUCUUGCAAGUUAUAGAAACACUCGAGGUAACAAAAAAAAAGGGGGGUGGGUUAUAAAGAUAGGGGCGGCUACUGAAACUCCAGGACUGCAGUGUAGAUGGGCCACAUAAAGGGAUGCUGGACCUAGGAAGAAUCUACAUAGCUGGCUUCUCUCUGAAUAUGUGCUUCAUUCUUCCCUCUGACCUUUAUAUGGGGUGAUCUGUGUUGUACUUCUGCCCUAAUAGGCCACAGCCUUCUUGGUGGAUAAAUAUACAUUAACCUACAAAAGCAGAGACUGCACUCCAGAUAGGACUCACCUAUCUGGCCUAAGAACUCUUUCUGAAAAAUUACUGAACUAUACCAAAUCAGAUUUUUAAAAAAUGGUCCCUUCAAGCCCACUCUGUCCAGGAAUUUUCCUAUCCCCACAUCCUAUAAUCUCAAGGCUUAGUGGAACUAAAAAGACUCCUUUCUGACAAAAAGAUCGAUGAAUUCCUGACCUAAGAUGACUCAAACUGCAGAAAUUCUGCAAACCCAAAUUUGCUAUUUUCAGCAGAAAAGCGAGUCGUUAAGUGUUUUGUAGUGCUUUCACCUUCAAUGAUGAAGACUUACCUGCUGGACGUUUUGGUAAUGCCUAACUUCGUGACUGUGUUUUCAUGCUUUGUGGAGUAUUACUGUAUUAUGUUCCAUGUUUUAAGUCUUGGGUCAGGGAAGACCCCGAGCAACACUGAGAUGUAUACAGAAUUUAUUUUGUAUAUAUCCCAGCUAUCCACGCCAUUUAGAAUUCUCUCCAAAGAAAUGAAAUUUUCCAUAGAAACAUUUCUGGAACCACAAAAGUCAGUGUGAAAAAAAUUGUGGCUAUUAGGGCCUACUUGUAAGGUUAGCCAUGACAAGGAUAAUCUGUUGAAAAAGAGACCACCCUCUCAAAAAUCAAAGCAAAGCUGUGAAUUUUAAGCCAACUACAACUACGGAUGGAAGGAGGCUGAUGCCCUACACAGCCAUUUAGGGAAUUAUUUUAUAUCCCUAACUCACCUAAGGAUUGCUGAGAAUGGAAAAAAAAAAAGUUCUUUGAGUUCUAGUUUUAUGAACUUCCAAAAAGCUGUCUUCACUUUAGUAUUCUGGUACUUUUAUCAAGUUAUAUCUGAAAAGUUAUUAGAGUUUAGGAGAGUAAAGAUGUAAUUUUUACUCAGAGUGAGGAAAAUAGUAAGAUUGUUUUAGGGCUCUGUGACUUGAAAGUAACAUUUUGGAAUUAAAAUGGGUUCCGUUAUAUUCUGUCAGAAAUACUGUUUUUAGAAUAUAAAGUUACACAGAGUCAUUUAAAACUUUAUUUCAUAUUUAUUUGUUUUUCCACACGUGUUACAGUGUCCACUUUAAAACAAUACUAAUACAGUAUCACACCCCCCGCCCAACUUUAAGUAAACCAAUUUUACAGAAAGUUAAAGUCUAAUGUUAAUAUGUAUUACCUUUUGGAGCCACAUCAUUAGCAAAAGUUCACGACUCCACAAGCCAUUUAAAGAAAGCUCAGCAUUACCAAAAGCACACUCAAACAUUGUUUUUUUUUUUAAAUACAAAUUUACCUAUAGUGCCAAACAUGUUUAAAUUUGCUCCAAAAAUUUUUCUGAAACCACAGGUCUAAAUCUGACACGUCUAUUGACAAGAGUUUUUUUUUUUAAAACAAUAAUUAUUAACAAGUGAAUGAUGUUAGCAGGUAGGAGCACAGGAUAGAAAAUCAGAACUUUCCAUCUGAUUUCCAUGGGCAGAGAUUAAUUAGGCCAUACACUUACAGGACUUAGGCACCCAUUGGGUUUAAUAAAGUCAAGCAGGAAGAUGAUCUGAUCACAAUUGCACACCCAGGGGUUAGGGAUUUCAUAUGGUACUUCUGCAUGUUUUUAGAAAGAGGGCACUGCUUACCAGAAAGAAACGAAUUUCUGUAAAGGAAGAAUUUCAGACACUGUGGCAGGUUUGCAGAUUUUUCAACAGAGGUCCUCAAAUGACACCAUAAACAUGACCACUUAUUCUGCCUAUGAAUAAGGCAAGUUCCUAACAAUAUUUGUGAAUGAUAACUUAGCCCAGUUAUUAAUCCAUGGCAGUUGUAAGUGUUGACCCAGUAAGGCAAGCACUGUGCCCCAGAUCCUUACUCAGUGCUUUAUAUUCGCUGACUCCAAAACAUUUUCAUUUCAACUGCACAGAUUCAGCUACAAUGGAAUACAGAUUAAUGGAAAAGGACAGCCAUUCUGUGAAGGUUUAUUUUUAAGAAAAUAGCCUAAGAGAUGCUUUCUCUCUUUUGUGAUCCCCUUUUCACAUACAAAGUAUCUCUAGAUUUACACCACACAGUAAACACAAACACAAUUUUAUGCAAAUCACAGUAUAUGAGGAGUUAGAAGCAUCACAGAUGUGAUUAAACAACAAAUGAGAUUUUUAAGUUUCAUCUUGUUUAUUACACCUUCCUUCCCAUUUGACUUCCCUUACGAUUCACUGGCAUAUAUAAACUUGUCUUUCUGCACUUAGUGGGGCUUCAUUUUAUUUAGAAAGCCCGAUGACAUUACUAUUUGUACUUUGAAGAAAGUAAUGGUUUGUAUUUUACUUACUUAUAGGGAUCCUUCACUCCUAAGAUUUCAACACACUUUUCAAACAACAAAAAUCUGGACACCAUACACCUGCACACAGCUUAGAGUCGGAUACACACGCUGGGAGGAGAAGCAGCAUUUUUCCUUGAAAAGCUAGAAUCUGUCCUCUGCCUGCUUCACACUACACCCAGUGAACGAGGUCACACUAAUUUCAGACAUCUGUAUGCUCCCAGUGCCCGGGACCGUUCCCAUCACAGCCAGGGUGGUAAGAGAGGUGUCAGCAACAGGAGGCUCAGGCCGCUCCGCCUUGCAACAGAACAACUGAGCUUUAAAAUGCUUCUGGAAGCUUUUGCUCAGCCAGUAGAGAGCAAAG
rnacentral:lncRNA from 1 species